rnacentral:rRNA from 1 species
AUUGAACGCUGGCGGCAGGCCUAACACAUGCAAGUCGAGCGGAUGAAGAGAGCUUGCUCUCUGAUUUAGCGGCGGACGGGUGAGUAAUGCCUAGGAAUCUGCCUGGUAGUGGGGGAUAACGUUCCGAAAGGAACGCUAAUACCGCAUACGUCCUACGGGAGAAAGCAGGGGACCUUCGGGCCUUGCGCUAUCAGAUGAGCCUAGGUCGGAUUAGCUAGUUGGUGAGGUAAUGGCUCACCAAGGCGACGAUCCGUAACUGGUCUGAGAGGAUGAUCAGUCACACUGGAACUGAGACACGGUCCAGACUCCUACGGGAGGCAGCAGUGGGGAAUAUUGGACAAUGGGCGAAAGCCUGAUUCAGCCAUGCCGCGUGUGUGAAGAAGGUCUUCGGACUGUGAAGCAUUUUAAGUUGGGAGGAAGGGUUGUAGAUUAAUACUCUGCAAUUUUGACGUUACCAACAGAAUAAGCACCGGCUAACUUCGUGCCAGCCGCCGCCGUAAUAC